CCCUUAGACGUUCUGGGCCGCACGCGCGCUACACUGACACAGGCAACGAGCUUUCCUUUACCGAAAGGUAUGGGUAAUCUUUUGAAACUGUGUCGUGCUGGGGAUAGAUCCUUGCAAUUUUUGAUCUUAAACGAGGAAUUCCUAGUAAGCGCGAGUCAUCAACUCGCGUUGAUUACGUCCCUGCCCUUUGUACACACCGCCCGUCGCUACUACCGAUUGAAUGGCUUAGUGAGGCCUCAGGAUCCGCGCUUAAUGUGUGGAGAAUUUGGACAAACUACGUCAUUGAGAGGAAGUAAAAGUCGUAACA
rnacentral:rRNA from 1 species